rnacentral:rRNA from 1 species
CCUACGGGUGGCAGCAGUGGGGGAUAUUGCACAAUGGGGGAAACCCUGAUGCAGCGACGCCGCGUGGGCGAAGAAGUAUUUCGGUAUGUAAAGCCCUAUCAGCAGGGAAGAAAAUGACGGUACCUGAGUAAGAAGCCCCGGCUAACUACGUGCCAGCAGCCGCGGUAAUACGUAGGGGGCAAGCGUUAUUCGGAUUUACUGGGUGUAAAGGGGGCGUAGACGGCAUUGCAAGUCUGGAGUGAAAGGCGGGGGGUCAACCCCCGGACUGCUCUGGAAACUGUACGGCUGGAGUGCAGGAGAGGUAAGUGGAAUGCCUGGUGUAGCGGUGAAAUGCGUAGAUAUUAGGAGGAACACCAGUGGCGAAGGCGGCUUACUGGACUGUAACUGACGUUGAGGCUCGAAAGCGUGGGGAGCAAACAGGAUUAGAUACCCCAGUAGUC